rnacentral:rRNA from 1 species
GUGACAUACCUAAACGUUGCUUCGGCGGGAACAGACGGCCCCGUGAAACGGGCCGCCCCCGCCAGAGGACCCCUAACUCUGUUUCUAUAAUGUUUCUUCUGAGUAAAACAAGCAAAUAAAUUAAAACUUUCAACAACGGAUCUCUUGGCUCUGGCAUCGAUGAAGAACGCAGCGAAAUGCGAUAAGUAAUGUGAAUUGCAGAAUUCAGUGAAUCAUCGAAUCUUUGAACGCACAUUGCGCCCGCCAGUAUUCUGGCGGGCAUGCCUGUUCGAGCGUCAUUACAACCCUCAGGCCCCCGGGCCUGGCGUUGGGGAUCGGCGGAGCCCCCCGUGGGCACACGCCGUCCCCCAAAUACAGUGGCGGUCCCGCCGCAGCUUCCAUCGCGUAGUAGCUAACACCUCGCGACUGGAGAGCGGCGCGGCCACGCCGUAAAACACCCAACUCUUCUGAAGUUGACCUCGAAUCAGGUAGGAAUACCCGCUGAACUUAAGCAUAUCAA